GAGGAACCACCCGAACCUCAGGGAUAACGGCUGGAAACGGCUGCUAAUACCUGAUGCCGUCGGAGCAUCACAUGGUGCACUGACGAAAGAAUCUCGGUUCGGGAGGGUCUCGCGGCCUAUCAGCUAGUUGGUGGGGUAAUGGCCUACCAAGGCAUCGACGGGUAGCUGGUCUGAGAGGAUGAUCAGCCACACUGGGACUGAGACACGGCCCAG
rnacentral:rRNA from 1 species